AGGGUCUCUUUCAUAAAUAAACACCCUCGAGUGCUCAUGUCAGGAUGAAAUAUGAACCUACUCUUAUAAACUACUCUGGAUUUUUUUAAACUGUCACAAGUGUUUUGUUACAACACUAGCUCUGUUUAGGAUUGUGUUUUGUGAAAAUUGUUAAAUAUUAUUACUUAUUAAGUGUGUUUAAACGACUAAUGUAAGUUUAAACUUAUACUUGUGUCAUGUUCUUGGUUGCCAUGCGCUGCUCGUGAGGCCCGCGGUGGCCACUGCGCUAUCACGGAUGCGGCCCUGACGAGAUAGCGCCGCGCACGAAGCGAUGUCCCGUUCGCGUACUGAGCGGCGCGCGGACCCGCCCAAGGCGCCCGAUGUAAAGAUCGCCCGCGUCGCCUGCGUGCUCUGCUAUCAGGUUUCUGGCACGAACAUUGCAUUUAAGCGAAUAUCUACGCAGUUGCAACGGGGGCACACCUUGGACAUCUCAAACAGUUGACUGCUGUGAUAAGGGAGGAGUCGAAAAUGAAGCGAUGCCAGCUCGCACCGAAAUGCCUAAAGCUCUGAAACUUGCAGGCUGCUUAGAACGUCGCCAAAACAUACUGGCAUAAAGUUAUGAUGCCCGUCUGCAAAAAGGUAAGACUUGUGUCAUCAACUUCAUAUUUUUAAGUACAUCU